AAGGGAAGUUGGUGUUGCCACAACAUACGUGACAUCACAGAAGAAGCCAGGGCUCUCCAGGAUACAAUAGAAUGUUCAGGGAAGAGCUGCAAAUGUCAUGGGAACUGACAUUGAUUCUAUGCUAAUGAGCUUUCCUCAUAAUACACUGGAAGUCAAGUUGACUUUUGCAGGAGCCUCUGCUAGGAUACAAGGGAAGCCCUUCAGCACCCCCUUCAUCCAAAGCCAGAGAUCUCUCCCCAAUUUAUUGGACAUCGUUUAGUUCUUUCCAUGUGUGGAACUGAAUGUUUAUCUCCUACUGAAAUUUUAUGUACACAAGGUCAGAAGCAGCUCCAUAAACCUGAGAGCAAAGUAGCACCUUAAAUUCCAGGUUGGCACUUUGCUGACAGACACAUCCAAGCAUCAAUUGUUAAUGACAACUGCUCCAUGUGACUAUGAGCCCUGAACUUCAUGAAAGCUGAUAUAAACUAAUCCAACUGAUGCAAAGGCUGUUUCUUCAGCUGGUAAAUGAACCAGAGGUUUCUAAAUUGCCUCCUUAUCUUUGAAUAACACUCUAGCCUUCCAAGGCCCUGACAAUAAUGAGCCAAUGUCAGCAGGAAGUAAUUACAGAAGCCAAUACAUUACCCUUGUUCCACCUUUCCCCUUGGAAUGUUACAUCAAAAGGUAAUUUCUUGUCAUAUGGAACCUGAGAUAAAAUAAUUACUGAUGCUUAGA